GCUGGGCGUGGUGGCUUGCGCCUGUAAUCCCACCUACUCAGGAGGCUGAGGCAGAAGAAUUGCUUGAACCCAGGAGUUGGAGGUUGCAAUGAGCCAAGAUCGUGCCAUUGCACUCCAGCCUAGGUGACAGAGUGAGAUUCUGUCUCAA
ensembl:misc_RNA Metazoa_SRP Metazoan signal recognition particle RNA